GAUGAACGCUGGCGGCGUGCCUAAUACAUGCAAGUCGAGCGAACAGACGAGGAGCUUGCUCCUCUGACGUUAGCGGCGGACGGGUGAGUAACACGUGGAUAACCUACCUAUAAGACUGGGAUAACUUCGGGAAACCGGAGCUAAUACCGGAUAAUAUAUUGAACCGCAUGGUUCAAUAGUGAAAGACGGUUUUGCUGUCACUUAUAGAUGGAUCCACGCCGCAUUAGCUAGUUGGUAAGGUAACGGCUUACCAAGGCAACGAUGCGUAGCCGACCUGAGAGGGUGAUCGGCCACACUGGAACUGCGACACGGUCCAGACUCCUACGGGAGGCAGCAGUAGGGAAUCUUCCGCAAUGGGCGAAAGCCUGACGGAGCAACGCCGCGUGAGUGAUGAAGGUCUUCGGAUCGUAAAACUCUGUUAUUAGGGAAGAACAAAUGUGUAAGUAACUAUGCACGUCUUGACGGUACCUAAUCAGAAAGCCACGGCUAACUACGUG
rnacentral:rRNA from 1 species